CCUCUUCACUGAUUAAUCGCAGCCUCAACAAGAUAACACAAGGUCUAAACUAUUCAAAUAAAUCACUAAACGUCUAAACAUGUUUCUUCAAUCACUUCAUGAAGAAAAACAAUUCUUCAAACACUAGCAGAACCCCUCCUCUGUGUCCUCAAAAAUUUCCCAAAGAAAACCCCAACCACGAAACCUUAAUUUCGAAUUACUACACCUGUUUCUUCAAUACCUUCACAGAAGAAAACCACAAAUCUUCAAACACCCACAGAACCCCUACUUCCGCGUCUUCAAAAUUCCAACUCAAUCUUCUAACACAUCAGAAUUUUGGUUUCUUAUUGACAACAUAUCUUCUCAUCCUUGACUUUGAAUACCCCUUGAACAUCAUAUAUCAAUUUCUACUGCAACCAUCUUGUUGAAUUUCUACAGUAGCACCACCACCUUGUCCUCAAUUUCUUAUUGUUUUGGGUAAAGUAUCCAGAGUUUGUUUAUCAGGACUUUGAAAUUACAUGGUUCAUUUAUCUUUGCAGAAUGAGGCAGUCUUGAAGGUUUUGUCCGCAGAACCUCCUUCAGGAUCUGCAAUAGCUGGAGGUACUGGAAAGGAUGAAAACAGCAGCAAUAGCACGUAGCCUUAUUUAACCAGCAAAAUGAGUAAGAUGGCAUUCACAUCUGAACCUAGUAUGUUCGUGAACACUUGAUGCAAAUCAAUUUUGGGUAGUAGAAAAAAAUAAUAAAAACAAUCAUUUUGUAUUUUGGUAAGCUGGUAUAAAUUUGAAUGUCCGUUAUCCUAUGUGUGAUGUCGUAUGUUGUGCUCCAUCACAUUUCAGCUUCUUGGUUGUUGUUAGGGACCUUAAGGUUUGCUAUGAGAUACGUUUAUGUUUUACAGUGUUUA